AUGGGAAAUAAAGGAAAAAGACCUGGUCCUAUUAGAGCUGGGGGAGGGGCCUUUCCAGGGAGGGUGCUCCCCAAGGGACAGCUGAGGCCGGAGGACAAGGAGGCUGGAGGACAAGUCCUGGCUGAGCUUUCUGAAGGAGGAGCAAGAAACUUGUGUUACUGAAAUACCCACGGCCAAAAUGACAUGCCCCAUGACAUGGCGUCUGCCAUCUUUGAAGCCCUACCAACCAACAGCAAACGGCAGAAAGUUGAGCGUUACCAAGAGUUUCCUUUCUCUGACUGGCUUAUUUGAAAGAUGAUGACCAGCUGUGUAAAAACAAAAGCAAAACGGUGUAUCCAGCAUGAAUUUGCUCCAUAUUACACUCGGGUACAAGAAAUGUGAAUUUUGGUAUUUUUCCUAAAUCAUGAAGUUUGAUUAGGAGCUGCCCUUCGCCAAGAGGGUAAGGAAUUCAACCUCAGGUGUGAGUCGGGGUGGGGGUGGGCGUGGGAGCGUGUUUGGGAAUCCUUGCAACUCUUCCUUUGUCUUCCCACAGUGUUCUCCCUGUGUGCAUGUCUGUGUCCAAAUUUCCCCUUUUUGAAAGGACACCAGUCAUAUUGGGUUAGAGCCCAUCCGAAUGACCUCAUCUUAACUAAUGAUGUCUGCCAGGGCCCUACUUCCAAAUAAGGUCACUGGACUUCCCCGGGUGGCUUAGCGAUUAAAGGAUCCAGCCUCAUCACUGCAGUGGCUCGGGUCAGUGCUAUGGUGCAGGUUCCAUCCCUGGCCCGGGAACAUCUGCAGGCUGUGCGCAUGCCCCAAAAAAAGUCACGAUUUGAGGUACUAGGGACUAGGAAUUUAACAUAGGAAUUGGAGUGGUGGGUGGGGACACAAUUUAACUCCUAACACCCACCGUCUAACCUGGGCUCUGCCAUACUGGGACUCUGCAUUUCUCCAUCACCUGCUGCUCCCUGCCCAGCUCGGCCAACAGGGGGCGCUAGAGGGCCUGCAGGGCUGGAGGAUCCGGGCGGCCGCUUCCCAGCUGCUGCCUGUUCCAUCCUCAGGGGAAGGCUUCUUCACAUGGGCAGCGGCGGGUCCUUAGCGGCCGCUAAGUGCAGCUUGUAGUUUUUCCAGCCUUUGCAGAACCAGCUGCCUCCAGCCCCCUUCGGAGACGCCAGCACCCGCGAGC
rnacentral:lncRNA from 1 species